UACAGAGGUCCCAAGCGUUGUUCGGAUUCACUGGGCGUAUAGGGUGCGUAGGUGGCCAGGUAAGUUCGGUGUGAAAGCUCGGAGCUUAACUCCGAAAUGUCAUUGAAUACUAUCUGGCUGGAGGGUCGGAGGGGAGACUGGAAUUCUCGGUGUAGCAGUGAAAUGCGUAGAUAUCGAGAGGAACACCAGUGGCGAAGGCAGAUCUCUGGACGACAUCUGACACUGAGGCACGAAAGCUAGGGGAGCAAACAGG
rnacentral:rRNA from 1 species